AAGAUGAAAAAAAUAGUGUAUUAACAAAUUUAAAAAAUGAAAUUACACAAAAGAAUAAAGAUAUAGAUAACAUGAAACAAGAACAAGAAAAUAUACAAAAACAAAUGAAUAAAAGUUUAGAAAAAAAAAAAGAAAUGUUACAAAUAUUAAACAAAGAAAUGGAAAAAAUGAAAACUUUAAAUAGUACAUACGAAAGUGAAAUAAAAGACUUAAACAAACAGAUAUAUAGCAUUAAUAAACAAUUAGAAAAAGAAAUAUGCUUCAAAAAUGAAGAAAAAAAAAAAUGUACGGAAAUAACUGAGCAAUUACAAGUUGCUAACUUAACAAUUAAAGAAAAAGAAAACCUAAUUCGAUUAAUGGAAAAGGAGAAAAAUGUUAUUGAAAAUGAAGCAAAAAAAAAAGAAGAAAAAGAACUAUUAAUGAAGGAAUGUGAAAAUAAACUAAAUGCAAAAUUCGAAAAAGAAAAAAAUGAAAUUAUAAUUGAUUUAAAAAAAAAAGUACAAAAGGAAGCAGAAGAUUUAUAUAAAAACGAAAUGAAAUUGACAGAAGAAAACAAUGAAAAAAAAAUUAAUAAAUAUAAAGAAGAAAUAGAAAAACAAAAAAAAAUGUAUGAAGAUAACAUAACAUUAAUGAUGGAACAAAAUAAACAAACAGUAGAACAAAUAAAAGAAGAAUGCAAAAAAAAAAUAAAUGAUAUAAAAGACAUGUACGAUAUGAGCAUGCAACAAAUCCAAGUAGUAAAAAAUGAAAACGAAAAACUAAUGCAAAGUAAAAUACAGGAAUAUGAAAGUUUAAUUAAUCAAAAAGAAGAUGAAAUUAAAAAAAUCAUUCAAAAUUAUGAUGAACGAAUACAAAUACAAAAUGAAGAAAUGGAAAAUCUUAUACGUGAGUGUGAAGAAAAAUUAAAGAAAGCUAAAACAAGUAGAAAGUAUACUGUCUCUAGUAAUAGUAACGUGUACAAUAUUGACGCUUCUACCUCUACUACUGAUUUUAGUAAUCCUAAACAGGAUAUACACGUGUUAGAAAAUAAGUUAAAAGAAGAAAAAAAAAAAAUGAAUGAUUUGUUAAUCGAAAUGAAUUUAAAAGAAAAAAGUAUACAGGAGCUUGAGAAAAUAAACGAAAAACUAAUAAACGAAAAUAGAGAUG
rnacentral:lncRNA from 1 species